UGAGAAUUAGAACCUAACAGUUGUUAGGGUGAUGUUGCUUUUAAGCUUCUGCAUAUUUAGUUUUGGUUUUGUUUAUUUGUGUGUGUAUAGUUUAAAGUAACUCUGAAAAGUCAACAAGUUUAUUUGAUCAAUUAAUCACAUGAGUUCUCAUAUUUGAAAUAGCUGUGCUGUAGUUACCUAUAUUUUCAGGAAGUUUAAUGUAGGGUGGACCACAUGGACAGCUCCUUAGUGGUCAAUGAAAAUAAGGACAUUUUCUUCAGCGUCACUAAUGAUCUGUCACAACAUCAGACGUGAGUCUCCAUAUCCUCCUCUGUAGGUUUUUCUGUGUCCUACCAAGCACACAUCAGUUUUCUCACAUGACAAUCUUUGUGUGGAGUUCACUUCACUGACGGAAGAACGUGGAAAAUAUGUCUUUGUCUUAUAUUCUUCUCAUUUAUUCGGUUCCCACUCCCACUAUUGUAUUUUCCCCUGAUUACAUCAAUGUAGCUACACCUGUUACAGUACGCUGUGAGUCACCAGAAGGCACAGAGUGCAUUUUCUACAGAGAUCACGACCCCAAACCUAUAAGAACAGUGGAUUACAAGCAGGGUGCUUGCCAGUUCAAGUUGUUAUGGAAUGAGUUCAAAAAGUGGAACAAGACUGAAGUAGAUCUCAGCUGUGUAAUUCUACAGAACAGAGAAGAUAAAACGAUCAAAACCUCAAAACCUAGUGAUGCUCGAAGACUUAAUGUGGGUGAUCCAAUUGGAAUGCCCAGUGUUCAUGUGGAGAAGAUCGGGAAUUACCUCAAUCUUCGAUGUGAGUGCAAGGCUGGCACCUCAUGCUACUUUUAUCUGAACAAUGGUGACUCACACUUCAAAAAACUACCCUACAAAGACAAUGUCUGUGUGGGGAGAGUGGCAGAAGAGGAACUGCAGAGGAAGAGGAGCAGUGCUGGAGAGAUCUUCAUCACCUGUGCUGUGGAGCUGUUGGUAGAGGGUGAAGAUACUGUGACAUCACAGCGUAGUGAAUCCCUCGGUAUCACCAUAGAUGUUGUAAAUCCUCCAGGAGCUACUAGUUCCCCAUCAGCGUUCAGUUUAAUCAUAACUGGUCAGGAGGAGACAAGCAGCAAUGUCACAGCCCAAGGAAGAGUUUCUUCAGGUCCAGUGUUCCUCGUCAUCAUCAGUCUGGGUGCUGGUUCCCUUUUCCUGGUUCUGCUAGCUGGGUCUGUGCUGUGUGUUCUCCAACGCAAUUGUGGGGUUCAAUGCAGGCCUGUAAAUACUGGAAGCCCACCUGAGCAGCAAGACCAAACCCCACCUUGUGUCUAUUCUGUCAUCACAAAGCCGUCUAGGGAUGAGGAAGAGGACAGUAGUCUGCAAUACGCUACUGUGACAUCUACCAGUGACCAAGCUAGUCUUCAAUAUGCAACAGUGACAUCUACCGGUGGCAGGUUUGGGACCUUCAAAGAACUCCUAACCAUGAUCCAAUGAAUGUGCUGCUGGUGCCUUAUGUGGGACAAGGAGAAUCAGACAAACACUUGGAUUACCCAGGAGAAGAAGCACCAGAUCUCAGUAAGCCUGAAGUUUGUGACCCUGACUGAAGUGGUUGAGCUGAGCUGCGAGUCCUCUGCCCUUGUAGAGGGUCAGCAGUGAUUGUUCUAUGUGGAUUCUAAACUCAAGGAGCUUGGUCGCUCAAAUGCCAGCCACAACCAAUGCUCCCUCCCAGUUAAGGGGUCAGAGCUGCUUGGGUGGAAGCCAGAGGGCUGUGGUCAAAAGUCACCAUCCAGUGUCAUUACGAAAAGGACUCACCUCCCAGCAAAAAUGUCACAGUGGUGGUGUGGAACACAAACAUGCUGACUAAGUACAUCAUCGGAUGUAUGGCCCUGAUAGGAUUCAUGAUUCUACCUGCAGUAUUCAUAUUCUACAUCACCUGUCUCCUCUCACUGAAAGCAAAGAGGAACGGACACCUCGUCAUAACAAGAUCGCCCAGUGACCAGACAUUGCCAGGAGACACUACCGUAACAAGAAGGUGAAGAUGAUUGGUGCUAUGCCACCGUGUCCCAUGCUGAUGCUCCUCCAUCCUACUCAGUCAAGUUUGAGGAAGGCCAUGACUAUGCCACAAUGGUCAUAUACUGACCAGCAUGUGCCGACCUGAAUGGACAUGAAAG
rnacentral:lncRNA from 1 species